UUAAACACCGGUUCGUGUCCGAUCACUGAAGUUAAGCAACGUUCAGCCUAGUCAGUUCCUAGAUGGGUGACCGUUUGGGAAUACCAUAUGCUGUAAG